GAUGAACGCUGGCGGCGUGCCUAAUACAUGCAAGUCGAGCGAAUGGAUUAAGAGCUUGCUCUUAUGAAGUUAGCGGCGGACGGGUGAGUAACACGUGGGUAACCUGCCCAUAAGACUGGGAUAACUCCGGGAAACCGGGGCUAAUACCGGAUAACAUUUUGAACCGCAUGGGUCGAAAUUGAAAGGCGGCUUCGGCUGUCACUUAUGGAUGGACCCGCGUCGCAGUAGCUAGUUGGUGCGUUAACGGCUCACCAAGGCAACGAUGCGUAGCCAACCUGAGAGGGUGAUCGGCCACACUGGGACUGAGACACGGCCCAGACUCCUACGGGAGGCAGCAGUAGGGAAUCUUCCGCAAUGGACGAAAGUCUGACGGAGCAACGCCGCGUGAGUGAUGAAGGCUUUCGGGUCGUAAAACUCUGUUGUUAGGGAAGAACAAGUGCUAGUUGAAUAAGCCGGCACCUUGACGGUACCUAACCAGAAAGCCACGGCUAACUACGUGCCAGCCGCCGCGGUAA
rnacentral:rRNA from 1 species